GCAGGGAAGUGGGCGGGGUCUCCGCGAGCGCGGUGUGUUGGCUCGCUCGCAGGCGGGCGGGGCGGAGGAGGUGAAUGGAGCCGCAGGUAGCGCAGGAACAAAGCGGCUUGACUCGAGCGGCGCGCGUGCGCACGGACUGCCGCGCUUUCCCUACCGAGCCAGUGUCGUCUGCCCAGGAAGGGAGCUAAGGGCCGGGCCCUGCGAUCCGCCCGGUCCGUUCCCAGCGGGCGGAGUGCCUCCACUUCCUCGGGGUUUCCAUCUCCCACUCUGCCCUAGGCUGGUUAGCACACAGCCACCUUGCCUGGACAGAGCCCAGCAGGCCCGUCACAGAUCUAUCCAGCGAUGAGGGCACUUCUCUGAGAGCACAGCAGGAACUCGCCCGUGGUCAGACAGCAGGAGGCCAGGACCACCUCUGCCCAGGACCUUGCCCUACAACUGUGCUAGGCCUGAACCCAUGAGGCAUGUUUGGAGCUACCUUCCCUAUCUGCUCAUAUCCAGCCCCAGAACCAAGCAGUGAAGGGGACUUCCAGCACGACAAGGCUUGGCUAUGAUAGUGGGAUGUUUGAUGUGAACUAAGCCAGAUGUGAGCUGGUAUGCAGCCCCCCUGCCGUCCACCCCUCCCCCAUCCACGUGGCUUGGUGACCCAGGAACUAUGUCACCAAGAAUAAUUUAAGCAUUGGGGCGCCUGGGUGGCUCUGUCAGUUUAGCUUCUGCCUUGGGCUC